rnacentral:rRNA from 1 species
GAUGAACGCUAGCGGCAGGCCUAACACAUGCAAGUCGAGGGGCAGCACAGAAACAGCAAUGUUUUGGUGGCGACCGGCGGACGGGUGCGUAACGCGUAUGCAACCUACCUUUAACAGGGGGAUAACGGAGAGAAAUUUCCACUAAUACCCCAUAACAUCGAUCAAGGCAUCUUGAUUGGUUGAAAACUCCGGCGGUUAAAGAUGGGCAUGCGUUGUAUUAGGUAGUUGGUGAGGUAAUGGCUCACCAAGCCUACGAUACAUAGGGGGUCUGAGCGGUUAGCCCCCCACACUGGUACUGAGACACGAACCAGACUCCUACGGGGUGGAGCAGUUAGGAAUAUUGGUCAAUGGGAGCAACCCUGAACCAGCCAUGCCGCGUGCAGGAAGACGGCUCUAUGAGUUGUAAACUGCUUUUAAACAGGGAUAAAGCACAGUAUGUAUACUGUGUUGAAGGUACUGUAAGAAUAAGGAUCGGCUAACUCCGUGCCAGCCGCCGCGGUAA